rnacentral:rRNA from 1 species
AUUGAACGCUGGCGGCAGACCUAACACAUCCAAGUCGAACGAUUGUCGGACGGGUGAGUUAUUUCUGGGAAACUGUCUUGUGGUUGGGGAUAACUACUGUAAACGGUAGCUAAUACCGCAUACUAUCGGUUGUUCCCAGAUGGGAUUAGCUAGUAGGUGGGGUAACGGCUCACCGAGGCGCCGAUCCCUAGCUGGUCUGAGAGGAUAACCAGCAACACUGGAACUUAGACGCGGUCCAGACUCCUAAGGGAGGCAGCAGUGGGAAAUAUUGCAAAAUGGGCGCAAGCCUGAUGCAGCCCUGCCGCGUGUGUGAAGAAGGCCGUCGGGUGGUAAAGUACGUGCAGCGAGGAGGCGUUCCUCGCAGAAGAAGCACCGGCUAACUCCGUGCCAGCAGCCGCGGUAAUUC